rnacentral:rRNA from 1 species
AUUGAACGCUGGCGGUAUGCUUAACACAUGCAAGUCGAACGAUGAGAAAGAGCUUGCUCUUUCGAUUGGUGGCGGACGGGUGCGUAACGCGUAGGAAUCUACCUAUUAGUGGGGGACAACUUAGGGAAACUUAAGCUAAUACCGCAUACGCCCUACGGGGGAAAGAAGGGGAUCGCAAGACCUUUUGCUAAUAGAUGAGCCUGCGUAGGAUUAGCUAGUUGGCGGGGUAAAAGCUCACCAAGGCGACGAUCCUUAACUGGUUUGAGAGAAUGAUCAGUCAAACUGGAACUGAGAAACGGUCCAGACUCCUACGGGAGGCAGCAGUGGGGAAUAUUGGACAAUGGGCGAAAGCCUGAGCCAGCAAUACCGCGUGUGUGAAGAAGGCCUUAGGGUUGUAAAGCACUUUCAAUUGGAAGGAAAACCUCGAAGCUAAUACCUUCGAGUUUGACAUUACCUUUAGAAGAAGCACCCGCUAACUCCGUGCCAGCCGCCGCAGUAAUAC